GAUGGCCCCACCGUUCAGGCUGGGCUGCUUCUCCUGCAUCUCCGACUGGCUGUCGCUGGCCACGUCCAGCGUGGGAUUGUCGUGGCAGCCGUUCUCCACGAAGCGCAGCUCCUCACCGUGCGACUGCAGCAGCAGGAGAGAGCGCUAGGCGCGCACAGUGGUUGGCCACGCCAAGCCCCCAGGGUACUACUCCCUUGGGGCCCAGGAUACAAGUGCCUGCAACUCAAACCUAAACCUCUGCAGUCCUAAGCCCUCCCUGGCCUACUCACCACGUGUUUGAGCUUGGGCAUCCGGCGCUGCCAACAAUUGUAGAGUAGGCCAAGCACAAUGAUGAUGAAGCAGAUGACACCAAUGAUCACCAGCACUACAAAGAGCGUCCCGUAGUCACUGCGCACCUGGGUGGCUCGUGCCUGGCAGCUGCUGGUGGUGGAGUAGUUCUGGAUGCCAAUCUAAGAGUGGGGGUAUCAGGAAAGCCCUAAGAGCUAACAUUCCAAGGGUGAGUUAGAGCCCCUGACAGCCCUGGGGCCUGGACCUGCAUAGAGGGGCAUACCAUUCUGUCCCUACUGGUUCAUCCAAGAACACUUCCAAGCCUCUCCCAGGGUCCACAUUCUUGGCUCCUUCACUUCCUCACUGUGUUUCUACACCAACACAACUUUGAAUGCACCAAUUCUGGCCCUGCACAUCACUGAGACGUGAUGACAGUCACGGCCCAAAUAGAUGGGGCCCCACCCCUGUCCCCAUCAGUUUCACAAAGCAACAUGGCAUCUGGGAGACUUGAGUUCACCAAAGGCAGAGGCCUGAAGCAAGCUUCAUCUUUAGGCAUAAGUAAGUUUUUCCAGGCACUUUUGGAGAGUCAAGAAUGGUAGAAGAUGCUGCAGUGGCUGCCAGGUCAAGUCCCUACACACUUACCUCCUCCAGACUCCUGCGGAUGCCACUGAGCAUGGAAAGGACAUCUUGAGUGGGUACCACGCCUGGAGGAAAAACGCCAUCAUCACCACAGCACCCUGAGGUGUCUCCACACCACCCAACCCUUCUCCUAUGGCAGAAUGCCUGAGCCGCCUCUGCUGCCCUUGUGCUUCUAAUCACAGGGAACCUCAGGGCCCAUGUAUGUCCCCUGCUGGCCUGCUUCCCAUUGAGUUGACCCCCUGGGAAACUAUGAAAGGCAUGAUUUUAGAAGUCACCUCUGCAGCCCAAGGAUCCCGCUCUCAUAGAGUGUGAUGGCCAUACCUGUCUCCUCAUCCCCAGAACCCAGGUAUCACUUCACCCAGAGCCCUGCAGUAGAAUGCCUGUUGGGUCUCCUAGCUUCACAGCCCUCCCUGUUCUUUCCUGAGCCUCCAUUGCAGGCCUGUGGCGGGACACCUCCCCUGUCUGCUCACCCUGUUCUCCUACAAGGGUCAUCAGCAGGUGUUGCUCUUUCUCACUGGGCUUGCUCAGAGAAAUAUGCCAGUCUCCACGAUGGCCACUGCGGUGGCGUGGCAGUACCUCCUCCACCAGAGCUAGGAGCCGUAGUCCCCGGUGCCGCCGAAAUACUUCCUAGGGAUUCAGAGGAGCCAAGCUUAAGGUUGGAUGGUAGCUUUCAUCCCAGAUCCCAAAGGCCUAGAUGGCCCUCUCCCCAGCCUGGUCGGCCCUGGGCCCAGCUGAGAGCAGGGCACAGGCAGAUACAGCUGGUUCACUUCCAUCUCUAAAUACCAUGGUAAAGGUGUGAGCCUGCCCCAAAGUCAGUCGGGUAGAGGGAACAUGGAUCUGUCCACCCUUAUCAUGGGGCAAAGUAUCCAGCGCUGGAAACAACAACAGUAAGUCCCCAUGGCCACCAGAGAGCAGGGAGGCUGAAAACAGCAGGCUCCUCUGCUGGUCAUUCCACCAUGUCACUGAGCCUCGGGAGCAGUGGGAAUGCCCUUACAGCAAGGGACUUGAAAAACCCAUAGAGAUGACUCAGAGUACCCUGGAACUCGCCUAGGGAGUGGGGUGGGUGUAGGGUGAGGUGGCUUCUUUUCCCCCCAGACUCUACCCCACUGUUUGGAUGAUCAUGUCAAGUAUAAUUAAAGAAUGUAACAAGAAAACAAACCCAGACCUCCACAGGAACUCUGUGGCAGAGAGAGGCCAGGCUGCUGCCACCAGGAGAGUCCCAACCAGAUCCCUCUCCUGCAUGUCCAGCUCUCUAGACAUGUCAACAGGCCACCGUGGGUGCAAGCCCAAUGCCUUCCUGUGACCCCCGAGGCAGAGAUGAACUGCUACUCUUGUUGGGUUCCUACCUAGGAUAAGGACCUACCCCCCCCCUUGGUGGUCAACCUGAAAUCCACCAAGCUGACUUUUAUGGUGGGCUUGCUCCUUGUGACCAUAGCAAAAGCCAGGUGCAGCUCAGGUCUAGACACUUUAGCUUCCCAGUCAGCAGUUCUGUCCCAAACAUUCAAAUCCCAGGGUCAAGUGGUCAGCGUUGUUACUGAUGUGAGGACAGGGCGGUGUUCUACCUGCCUGCUGCUCGGCCACAUGUAUGACACCCUUCCCUGUAUAGCGACAGCCACCUUGUUCCAGGGAAAGGAUGGGAUCCCACAUCCUGGGGCAAAGAUGCUCCCGGCAUCUAGACUCCAAGGUCAGAUUGGCAUUUGCUACUUUGUCAUUUUGUGUCUGUGCCUGCUGAUCUCUGCCGGCUCCCUUCCUGUCUCCUAGAUCCUAGAUAGGAAACAGGAGAAGCUGGCUAGCCUACACUACUCUUGGCGAUGAUCUCAAGUGCAAAGUUCUAAAACUGUAGCUGCAUCGUGUAAAGCCGUCUCUGGGGGCAGUGGCACAUUCCUCCCUAUUCUUUUUUAUCUGACGAUGAGGACUCUGCGUGGCCCAUCACCUUCAAUGCACAGUGUUCCAUUCUCUUCAAACAUAAGUCAGAAAGGAAACCAUGGACCGCUGGAUGGGAGACAAGUCUACAUACAGCGCUCGGGAAAGGAUACACCAACAGCAAACUCACUCCCUGCCUGGAGAAGAUGGAACAUCUCUCCUCUGAUUUACCUUCUACCCCGACAUGCUGGGGAUGAACCCAAAACUGUGCUGAGCAGCACCACAGAGCCACACCCUAGCCCUGGAAGUUCACGUUUUCAAGAGUAAAACUGAGUGCCUAUGAUCAUG
ensembl:antisense Gm15612 predicted gene 15612